GAUGAACGCUAGCGAUAGGCUUAACACAUGCAAGUCGAGGGGCAUCACGAGGUAGCAGUACUUUGGUGGCGACCGGCGUACGGGUGCGUAACACGUAUGCAACCUUCCUGUAAGUGUGGGAUAGCCUCCUGAAAGGGAGAUUAAUACCUCAUGAUAUGUAUUUGCUGCAUGGCAUUUACAUUAAACAUUUAUGGCUUACAGAUGGGCAUGCGUUCCAUUAGGCAGUUGGUGUGGUAACGGCUCACCAAACCUACGAUGGAUAGGGGUUCUGAGAGGAAGGUCCCCCACACUGGAACUGAGACACGGUCCAGACUCCUACGGGAGGCAGCAGUGAGGAAUAUUGGUCAAUGGGCGCGAGCCUGAACCAGCCACGUCGCGUGAAGGAUGACGGCCUUAUGGGUUGUAAACUUCUUUUACAGGGGAAUAAAGUGAGUCACGUGUGAUUUUUUACAUGUACCCUGUGAAUAAGCAUCGGCUAACUCCGUGCCAGCAGCCCGCGGUAAUACGGAGGAUGCGAGCGUUAUCCGGAUUUAUUGGGUUUAAAGGGUGCCGUAGGCCGGGAUAUUAA
rnacentral:rRNA from 1 species